rnacentral:tRNA from 1 species
UGUGUGUUAGCUUAAUUGGUUGAGCGUUGCGCUACGGUCGCGAAGAUAUAAGUUCGAGUCUUAUACGCACAC